AGUAGCGAUAAUGAGAGUGGAAAACUUUCACACCGAAAAUCUAAGGUUUCCUGGGCAAGGCUCGUCCUCCCAGGGUAAGUCGGGUCCUAAGCCGAGGCCGAACAGGCGUAGGCGAUGGCAAACAGGUUUAAAAUUCCUGUACCAGUUGUCAGUGCGAUGGGAUGACGCAGAAAGCUAUGGUCAGCCCCCUGUUGGUGGGGGUCUAAGCAUAUAGGCGGGUUACUCAGGCAAAUCCGGGUAGCUAUUCAACGCUGAAGUGUGAAUGGGACGGGAGUCUUCGGACGAACAAACUGAUCGAUGCUCGGCUGCCAAGAAAAGUCUCUAAGCAUAACUGAUAAUUGCCCGUACCGCAAUCCGACACAGGUAGAUGAGGCGAGUAGCCUAAGGUGCGCGAGAGAACCGUGGUAAAGGAACUCGGCAAAUUAGCCCCGUAACUUCGGGAGAAGGGGUGCCUGCGUGAGCAGGCCGCAGUGAAGAGGCCCAAGCGACUGUUUAACAAAAACACAGCACUCUGCUAAAUCGUAAGAUGACGUAUAGGGUGUGACACGUGCCCGGUGCCGGAAGGUUAACAGGAGAGGUUAGUCAGGAAUCCUGGCGAAGCUUUGAAUCGAAGCCCCGGUAAACGGCGGCCGUAACAAUAACGGUCCUAAGGUAGCGAAAUUCCUUGUCGGGUAAGUUCCGACCUGCACGAACCGUGUAACGACUUGGGCACUGUCUCUACCACGGACUCGGCGAAAUUGGACUUCUGGUGAAGAUACCAGAUACCCGCAGCUAGACGGAAAGACCCCAUGAACCUUUACUGCAACUUGGCAUUGGGUUUCGCCUGCGCAUGUGCAGGAUAGGUGGGAGACAUUGAAGUCGGAGCGCUAGCUUCGAUGGAGUCAACCUUGACAUACCACCCUUGUUCAGUUGGAAUUCUAACCUAGCGCCCUGAAUCGGGUGCAGGAACAGUGCCAGGGGGCCAGUUUGACUGGGGCGGUCGCCUCCCAAACAGUAACGGAGGCACACAAUGGUUCCCUCAGCAUGGUCGGUAAUCAUGCGUCGAGUGCAAAGGCAUAAGGGAGCUUAACUGCGAGACAAACGAGUCGAGCAGAUGCGAAAGCAGGUCUUAGUGAUCCGGCGGUUGGAAAUGGAACUGCCGUCGCUCAAUGGAUAAAAGGUACUCUGGGGAUAACAGGCUUAUCGCGCCCGAGCGUUCACAGCGACGGCGCGGUUUGGCACCUGAUGUCGGCUCGUCGCAUCCUGGGGCUGAAGAAGGUCCCAAGGGUUUGGCUGUUCGCCAAUUAAAGCGGCACGCGAGCUGGGUUCAGAACGUCGUGAGACAGUUCGGUCCCUAUCUACUGUGGGCGCACGAUAUUUGAGAGGAGCUUUUCUUAGUACGAGAGGACCGGAAAGGACGUACCACUGGUGUACCAGUUGUUCUGCCAAGGGCAUCGCUGGGUAGCCAAGUACGGAACGGAUAACCGCUGAAAGCAUCUAAGCGGGAAGCCAGCCUCAAGAUUAGAUAUCGCGUGGGGUUUACCCCCCUGAAGGAUCCUUGAAGACUACAAGGUCGAUAGGUCACAGAUGUAAGCGUAGCAAUGCGUUCAGUCGAGUGAUACUAAUAAUCCGUGUGGCUUGAUA
rnacentral:rRNA from 1 species